AACGAACGCUGGCGGCAUGCCUAACACAUGCAAGUCGAACGAGACCUUCGGGUCUAGUGGCGCACGGGUGCGUAACGCGUGGGAACCUGCCCUUAGGUUCGGAAUAACUCCCCGAAAGGGGUGCUAAUACCGGAUAAUGUCUUCGGACCAAAGAUUUAUCGCCUUUGGAUGGGCCCGCGUUGGAUUAGCUAGUUGGUAGGGUAAAAGCCUACCAAGGCGACGAUCCAUAGCUGGUCUGAGAGGAUGAUCAGCCACACUGGGACUGAGACACGGCCCAGACUCCUACGGAAGGAAGAAGGGGGGAUAAUGGAACAAUGGGCGAAGGCCGAAUCCAGCAAUGCCGCGUGAGGGAUGAAGGCCUUAGGGUUGUAAAGCUCUUUUACCCGGGAUGAUAAUGACAGUACCGAGAGAAUAAGCUCCGGCUAACUCCUU
rnacentral:rRNA from 1 species